UACGUAGGGUGCAAGCAUUAUCCGGAGUGACUGGGCGUAAAGAGUUGCGUAGGUGGACAAGUAAGCGAAUAGUGAAAUCUCACGGCUCAACCGUGUAGACUAUUACUCGAACUGCUUGUCUCGAGAAUGGUAGAGGUAACUGGAAUUUCUAGUGUAGGAGUGAAAUCCGUAGAUAUUAGAAGGAACACCAAUGGCGUAGGCAGGUUACUGGACCAUUUCUGACACUGAGGCACGAAAGCGUGGGGAGCGAACCGG
rnacentral:rRNA from 1 species